CCUACGGGCGGCAGCAGUGGGGAAUAUUGCACAAUGGGGGAAACCCUGAUGCAGCGACGCCGCGUGAGUGAAGAAGUAAUUCGUUAUGUAAAGCUCUAUCAGCAGGGAAGAACAUGACGGUACCUGAGUAAGAAGCCCCGGCUAACUACGUGCCAGCAGCCGCGGUAAUACGUAGGGGGCAAGCGUUAUCCGGAUUUACUGGGUGGAAAGGGAGCGUAGACGGCAGUGCAAGUCUGGAGUGAAAGUCGGGGGCUCAACCCGCGGACUGCUCUGGAAACUGUACGGCUGGAGUGCAGGAGAGGUAAGUGGAAUUCCUAGUGUAGCGGUGAAAUGCGUAGAUAUUAGGAGGAACACCAGUGGCGAAGGCGGCUUACUGGACUGUAACUGACGUUGAGGCGCGAAAGCGUGGGGAGCAAACAGGAUUAGAUACCCCUGUAGUC
rnacentral:rRNA from 1 species